GCCCUCGUAGUUUAACGGAUAAAACAAGUCCCUCCUAAGGACUAGAUCUCGGUUCGAUUCCAGGCGAGGGCA
rnacentral:tRNA from 1 species